rnacentral:rRNA from 1 species
CAGGAUGAACGCUGGCGGCAGGCUAAUACAUGCAAGUCGAACGGUAAGGCCGAGUGCAGCAAUGCAUGAGGUACACGAGUGGCGCGACGGGUGCGUAACGCGUAUGCAACCUGCCCCCGACCGGGACAAAACAGCUGGAAACGGCUGCUAAUAUCCCAUGGUUACCGAGGAGGGCAUCCUCCUUUGUAUAAAGAUUCAUUGGUCGGGGAUGGGCAUGCGUAUUAUAGGUAGUUGGCGGGUAACGGCCCACCAAGCCGACGAUGAUUAGGGGUCCUGAGAGGGUUAUCCCCCCACACUGGAACUGAGACACGGUCCAGACUCCUACGGGAGGCAGCAGUAGGGAAUAUUGGGCAAUGGGAGCAAUCCUGACCCAGCCAUGCCGCGUGAAGGAAGACGGCCCUAUGGGUUGUAAACUUCUUUUGCCGCAGAGUAAAGUCCGCCACGUGUGGCGGUUUGAGAGUAUGCGGCGAAUAAGUAUCGGCUAACUCCGUGCCAGCCGCCGC